GUCAGCGUGGUCUAAGUAAGUCGGCUUUCUUGGUAAGAAAGAAGAUGUCGGUUCAAACCCGACCGUUGGCUCCA
rnacentral:tRNA from 1 species